ACGAAGGGGGCUAGCGUUGUUCGGACUUACUGGGCGUAAAGCGCGUGUAGGCGGGUCGUUAAGUUGGAUGUGAAAGCCCCGGGCUCAACCUGGGAACUGCAUCCAAAACUACUGAGCUAGAGUACGGUAGAGGGUAGUGGAAUUUCCUGUGUAGCGGUGAAAUGCGUAGAUAUAGGAAGGAACACCAGUGGCGAAGGCGACUACCUGGACUGAUACUGACACUGAGGUGCGAAAGCGUGGGGAGCAAACAGGA
rnacentral:rRNA from 1 species